GGGGGGAUGCCCGAGCGGCCAAAGGGGCCAGACUGUAAAUCUGGUGGCUGACGCCUUCGCAGGUUCGAAUCCUGCUCCCCCCA
rnacentral:tRNA from 1 species